CCUACGGGCGGCAGCAGUGGGGAAUAUUGGACAAUGGGGGCAACCCUGAUCCAGCCAUGCCGCGUGUGUGAAGAAGGCCCUCGGGGUGUAAAGCACUUUCAGUGAGGAAGAACGCCUGGUGGUUAAUACCCAUCAGGAAAGACAUCACUCACAGAAGAAGCACCGGCUAACUCCGUGCCAGCAGCCGCGGUAAUACGGAGGGUGCGAGCGUUAAUCGGAAUUACUGGGCGUAAAGCGCGCGUAGGUGGCUUGAUAAGCCGGUUGUGAAAGCCCCGGGCUCAACCUGGGAACGGCAUCCGGAACUGUCAAGCUAGAGUGCAGGAGAGGAAGGUAGAAUUCCCGGUGUAGCGGUGAAAUGCGUAGAGAUCGGGAGGAAUACCAGUGGCGAAGGCGGCCUUCUGGACUGACACUGACACUGAGGUGCGAAAGCGUGGGUAGCAAACAGGAUUAGAUACCCGAGUAGUC
rnacentral:rRNA from 1 species